rnacentral:tRNA from 1 species
GGGGCCAUAGCUCAGCUGGGAGAGCGCUACAAUGGCAUUGUAGAGGUCAUCGGUUCGAUCCCGUUUGGCUCCACCA